rnacentral:lncRNA from 1 species
GCUGCAUUUGACAAAUACAAGUACAGAGCCUUUUGGAGAGGUGCCGUGUGACAGGGAGGCUGUCGGAGGCAGAAAUGUUUGCAUGGGAUGGAGACUGCAACUACCGUAACUGUCCCUGUGGCAAGAACACCCACAGAAACAGGUCUCAACUCUGGCCAGAUCUUCGUGAUUUUUGGAUGGCGUGACUUGAAGUGGCACUUUUUGGCAGGAAUCACAUAG